rnacentral:rRNA from 1 species
GACGAACGCUGGCGGCGUGCCUAACACAUGCAAGUCGAACGGAAAGGCACUAGCUUGUUGGAGUUCUCGAGUGGCGAACGGGUGAGUAACACGUGGGUGAUCUGCUCUGCACUUUGGGAUAAGCCUGGGUAACUGGGCCUAAUACCGGAUCGGACCGCACCUUGGUGUGUGUGGUGGAGAGGUUUUUCUGGUGUGGGAUGAGCUCGCGGCCUAUCGGUUUGUUGGUGGGGCAAUGUCCUACCACACCGACGCCGGGAACCCGGCCUGAGAGGGUGGGCGGUCACAUUGGGACUUAGGUGCGGCCCAGGCGCCUAAUGGUGGAAGAUGUGGGGAAUAUUGAACAAUCGAGGAAGCGCGGGUGCAGAGGGGCCGCGGGGGGGAUGAAGGCCUUCGGGUUGAAAACUCGCUUCGCUAGGAACGAAGGUUUUUGUGACGGUACCUGGAGAAGAAGCACCGGCUAACUACGUG